rnacentral:rRNA from 1 species
UACGGAGGGGGCGAGCGUUAUUCGGAAUUAUUGGGCGUAAAGGGCGCGUAGGCGGCUGAACAAGUCAAAGGUGAAAUCCCUCGGCUCAACUGAGGAACUGCCUUUGAAACUGUUCGGCUUGAGGCCGGGAGGGGGUAGCGGAAUUCCCAGUGUAGCGGUGAAAUGCGUAGAUAUUGGGAGGAACACCAGUGGCGAAGGCGGCGAUCUGGACGGACACUGACGCUGAGACGCGAAAGCGUGGGGAGCAAACAGG